ACGAACGCUGGCGGCGUGCUUAACACAUGCAAGUCGAACGGAAAGGCCCUGCUUUUGUGGGGUGCUCGAGUGGCGAACGGGUGAGUAACACGUGAGUAACCUGCCCUUGACUUUGGGAUAACUUCAGGAAACUGGGGCUAAUACCGGAAGGGGCCUCCGGCGCCAGGGGGGGGGUGGGAAGUUUCGGCGGUUGGGGAUGGACUCGCGGCUUAUCAGCUUGUUGGUGGGGUAGUGGCUUACCAAGGCUUUGACGGGUAGCCGGCCUGAGAGGGUGACCGGCCACAUUGGGACUGAGAUACGGCCCAGACUCCUACGGGAGGCAGCAGUGGGGAAUAUUGCACAAUGGGCGGAAGCCUGAUGCAGCAACGCCGCGUGCGGGAUGACGGCCUUCGGGUUGUAAACCGCUUUCGCCUGUGACGAAGCGUGAGUGACGGUAAUGGGUAAAGAAGCACCGGCUAACUACGUG
rnacentral:rRNA from 1 species